AUAUCAAUAAGCGGAGGAAAAGAAACCAACAGGGAUUGCCUUAGUAACGGCGAGUGAAGCGGCAAUAGCUCAAAUUUGAAAUCUGGCGUCUUUGGGCGUCCGAGUUGUAAUUUGUAGAGGAUGUUUCGGUAUUAGCUCCGGUCUAAGUCCCUUGGAACAGGGUGUCGCAGAGGGUGAGAAUCCCGUACGCGACCGGUUGCUUUUGCCAUGUGAAACUCCUUCGACGAGUCGAGUUGUUUGGGAAUGCAGCUCUAAUUGGGAGGUAAAUUUCUUCUAAAGCUAAAUACUGGCCAGAGACCGAUAGCGCACAAGUAGAGUGGUCGAAAGAUGAAAAGCACUUUGGAAAGAGAGUUAAAAAGUACGUGAAAUUGUUGAAAGGGAAGCGCUUGCAAUCAGACCUGCUUGCAGUUGUUCAUCUAGGCUUUUGCCUAGUGCACUCUUCUGUAAGUCAGGCCAGUAUCGGUUCGGGCGGUUGGAUAAAGAAUUCAGGAAUGUAGCUCCUUUCGGGGAGUGUUAUAGCCUGUUUUGUAAUGCAACCAGCCCGGAUCGAGGACCGCGCUUCGGCUAGGAUACUGGCGUAAUGGUUGUAAGCGG
rnacentral:rRNA from 1 species